rnacentral:misc_RNA from 1 species
AAGUCGUAACAAGGUUUCCGUAGGUGAACCUGCGGAAGGAUCAUUAACACGUAUCCAAACGUAAAAAACCCCCCCCGUGAACAUUCAAUCCUGCUCUUGUAACCCGCGUAGUUCGCAAUCUCUGGUAAAUCAUAGCCCGGAAAGUAGUUUUGAUUCAGAGACCUCUGGCUACGUGAGAACAUUGGAACAGUUACAAUCGAGCGGUAGCAGUUAGUGUCUGAAAGUGUCACUGAUUGUGCAAGGAUAGCGCUUCAACGAUUCCUGUAGACCGUACACUCGGGCAGGAGCUAUGCCAAAGGGUCCCCAUGCCCCCUUAUAACCCCACAGUUUAAUGUGAAGCUCAAUGUAAUACAUUGGGUAAAAAAACCGAACAACUGUUAACAAUGGAUAUCUUGGUUCUC